GGUUAAAAAGUCAACGACGUUAUGCAUUAAAAUAUGGAGGGAGUCCUUUUGCAGCAGGAGUUGCCAAAGAAGCAGUUCAAAGCUGAACACCUUUCUUCGUGGAGGGUGCAGCAACCCUUCCGAGCUGCAAAAGGUGCAUUCAUGGGGUCGUCGCUGGAGGCGGAGCAGCAGAGCUUGAUAGUGCGGACGACAGAGCCGGAGGAUGUUGAUGACUACACAGGCGAUGGAUCUGUAGGCUUCAGUGGUCAACCUAUUUUGAAGCAUGAAACGGGCAAUUGGAGGGCAUGCUCACUAAUUCUUGGAACUGAAGUUUGCGAACGCUUGGCCUACUAUGGCAUCUCAAAAAGUUUGGUCACUUACCUAUCGACAAGAUUGCAUGAAGGAAAUGUCUCUGCAGCAAGGAACUUUACAACUUGGCAAGGAACUUGUUAUCUCACGCCACUUAUUGGAGCAACCUUAGCAGACUCAUACUGGGGAAAGUACAAGACUAUUGCUGUUUUCUCAACAAUUUACUUUCUGGGGAUGGCAGCAUUGACAUUUUCAGCAUUGGUUCCUUCUCUUCAACCUCCUCAAUGUUUUGGGUCCUUUUGUCCACAACCAACCGUGCCUCAGUAUCUGAUAUACUUUGUUGGACUAUACAUGAUUGCUUUAGGGUCUGGAGGUAUUAAGCCAUGUGUUUCAUCCUUUGGUGCUGAUCAAUUUGAUGACACUGAUCCAGUUGAGAGAACAAAGAAGGGUGCUUUCUUCAAUUGGUUUUAUUUUGCUAUAAACAUCGGUUCUUUGAUAUCUGGCACAGUUCUUAUUUGGGUACAACAAAACUGUGGAUAUGGAAUUGGAUUUGGAAUUCCUACUAUCUUCAUUGCCUUAGCUAUUGGAAGUUUUUUUAUAGGUUCUCAGAGAUAUAGAUAUCAGAUACCUGGAGGAAGCCCCCUUAUAAGAGUAUGCCAGGUGGUUAUUGCAGCCAUCCACAAGAGAAAUGUUGAUUUGCCGGUUGAUAGUUCUGUUCUUUAUGAGCUUCAUGGUAAGACUUCUGCAAUUGAGGGGAGUCGUAAGCUGGAACAUAGUAGUGAAUUCAGUUUCCUUGACAAAGCUGCCGUCAUUUUGUCGAAUGAACGUGGUGGUUCUCAUGAUCCUUGGAGACUUUGCACUAUCACACAGGUUGAAGAGCUUAAAAUAUUAAUGAGGAUGUUUCCAAUCUGGGCAACUGGCAUUGUGUUCUUCACUGUAUGUGCUCAAAAUUCAUCAAUGUUUAUAGAACAAGGGAUGGCCCUCAACAAUCAAAUUGAAUCCUUUAAAAUUCCGCCAGCCACUCUGUCAUCCUUGGAUGUUAUCAGCAUUGUUGUUUGGGUCCCAAUCUACGAAACUUUCGUUGUGCCGAUAGCAAGUAGACUGACUGGUAAAGAGAGAGGCUUCUCGGAGCUUCAACGAAUGGGAAUUGGUCUGUUUGUGGCUACUACUGCAGUGGCAACUGCAGCAUUGGUUGAGAUUAAGCGUCUGGAGAUUGCAAGGUCAGAAGAUCUGAUCCAUAGUAAGGUACCUGUUCCCAUGAGCAUUCUUUGGCAAGCGCCUCAAUACUUGUUGGUUGGUAUUGGUGAGGUGUUCACAGCCAUUGGCCAAGCCGAGUUCUUCUACAACCAGUCUCCAGAUUCCAUGAGAAGCUUGUGCUCCGCUUUCGCUCUUGUUACGGUGUCGCUUGGAAGCUAUCUUAGUUCAUUCAUACUGACCCUGGUUUCAUAUUUUACAACUCGAGAUGAUAAUCCGGGUUGGAUCCCUGAUAACUUGAAUGAAGGCCAUCUUGACCGCUUUUUCUGGCUCAUAGCUGGCCUUAGUUUUCUGAAUCUUCUUCUUUUCGUCUACUAUGCACAGCAAUACAAGUGCAAGAAAGCAGCUGCAAUUUAAUGUCAGCCUUCAUAGAGCAAUAUUACUUGGACAAAGGAAUUUAUUGUACAGCAAAUUGUAUGUAUAUAUUUUAUCUCAAAAAAUACUGAAUAAUCUCUUGUAUAUGUACAUUGAUUCUCCUCAGUGGUACUGGUACAUAAUAUUACUUGGAGAAUGGGAAAAAAAACAAUCUUCUUCUUGCUUUUGCUAGUCAGUUUAUUUUCAUAUGAAAGCAUGUUGUUCCCCUCCAAACAUUUUCUAUUGCAGACAUAAUUGAUCUGUUUGUUUUCCUGUCAGAAAUCAGAAUAAAUAAACCAUGUGUACUGUUUGCUGAAACUGAAAGGAUAUUUGGCACGUUACACGUGCUUGGCUAGUAUAGGUAUUUUAUUUGGAUUUGACUGAAUAUGACUAAUCAGAAGUGCCAACUUGCAUCCUGUGACAGAUUGCCCAUCAGGCCACCAUGCGUCGCCGGUGAGCUUCUUGAGUUUGAGCUUCUUGAACUCGGUUUAAUCAAAAUAUUUCAACGCAAAUACGUUUAAUCAAACUUAAUUUUGGAGUUGAUUUUAAGGGUUUUUUUAGUAUUUUUUUAAGGGGCUGCUACAUACCGAAAUCCCGUUCAAAAACGGGAUGAUUCUGAAACUACAGUAUCACCACAUGCGAGCGUUGCAAAAAAAAGGAGAACGACCAGUGAUUGCCAUCCGCCGGCUUGUACGCAUCCCAGCGAAACCUCCUCAGAAUCGCACGCGAUUUCUCGCUUCCUUCCACCGAGGCGAGCAUCGUCCGCCGGCUCCUCUGCAUCUCGGCGAAUCCUCCUCGGAAUCACGCACCUCCGCGCUUCCUUCCGCCGGUGCGAGCGUUGCCCCCAGUUUUUCCUCCGCAUCCUAGCGAAUCCUCCUCGGAAUCGCGCGCCUCCGUGCGCGAUUCCUCGGUUCAUUUCACCGUUGCACACGCCGUCUGUCGAUUUCCUCUACAACUCAGCGAUUCCUCGGUUGAUUCUGCCGGCACACAUGCCGUCUGCGAUUUCCUCUACAAUCCAGCAAUUUCAGUUGAUUUCGUCAGCUCCUUUGCUCCUACCUCCUCAAUUGAUUCUGCUACAAGUGUGAUGUGAGCUCAACAUCAGCCUGCGUUUCAACGCCGACUACCCUGUGGAGAAUAAAAAAAAGUGAUGCCCCCCCGAGUGAAUCCCCUUUGUGUACACGUUCUGCUAGUGUGUUUGUGGCUAGUGAGUCAGUUGUGACAACAAAUAGUAGAUGUAUAGAGAAGCGCUGAAUUAUUUCCUCAAUAAUUCAGGCGGUAAAAAGAAGUCAGAAACAAGUGUUGAAGCUAGUGGUACAGAGAUGCAAUAGACUACAGGUAAAUUAUUGAUAAGUUAUCCAUGAAAUGCUUCUAUAGACAGUAUAAAACUUAUAGUUGAUACCCUAGGAGGAUCAUGAUCUUCCUCUGUAUCAUGUCCGGUAUCAUUAGGUUUCCACAGUUGAUACCCUAGGAGGAUCAUGUGAUAAGUAUCAUUAUGUGUGAUAUCUGUGUAGUAUCGCAUGAUCUUACUUAGGUAACAUGUCUGGUAACAUGAUCCUUGUGGGUUUCA